GUGCUCUCUUUGGCAGCACACACACUCAACUUGGAGCUACAUGGAGAUGAUUAGCACGUCCCCUCUGCAAGAAUGACAUGCAGACUCAUGAAGCAUUCCUUUUUUUU